GACGAACGCUGGCGGCGCGCCUAACACAUGCAAGUCGAACGAGAGAUGAGGAGCUUGCUCUUCAGAUCGAGUGGCGAACGGGUGAGUAACGCGUGAGGAACCUGCCUCAAAGAGGGGGACAACAGUUGGAAACGACUGCUAAUACCGCAUAAGCCCACGGCUCGGCAUCGAGCAGGGGGAAAAGGAGCAAUCCGCUUUGAGAUGGCCUCGCGUCCGAUUAGCUAGUUGGUGAGGUAACAGCCCACCAAGGCGACGAUCGGUAGCCGGACUGAGAGGUUGAACGGCCACAUUGGGACUGAGACACGGCCCAGACUCCUACGGGAGGCAGCAGUGGGGAAUAUUGCACAAUGGGGGAAACCCUGAUGCAGCGACGCCGCGUGAGUGAUGAGGUAUUUCGGUAUGUAAAACUCUAUCAGCAGGGAAGAUAAUGACGGUACCUGACUAAGAAGCACCGGCUAAAUACGUGCCAGCAGCCGCGGU
rnacentral:rRNA from 1 species